UACGUAGGGUGCGAGCGUUGUCCGGAAUUAUUGGGCGUAAAGGGCUCGUAGGCGGUUUGUCGCGUCGGGCGUGAAAACACUGGGCUUAACUCAGUGCUUGCUUCCGAUACGGGCAGACUAGAGGUAUUCAGGGGAGAACGGAAUUCCUGGUGUAGCGGUGAAAUGCGCAGAUAUCAGGAAGAACACCCGUGGCGAAGGCGGUUCUCUGGGACGGUACUGACGCUGAGACGCGAAAGCGUGGGGAGCGAACAGG
rnacentral:rRNA from 1 species